CCUACGGUGUGGCAGCAGUGAGGAAUAUUGGUCAAUGGGCGCGAGCCUGAACCAGCCAAGUAGCGUGAAGGAUGACUGCCCUACGGGUUGUAAACUUCUUUUCUAAAGGAAUAAAGUGAGGCCCGUGUGCCUUUUUGUAUGUACUUUAUGAAUAAGGAUCGGCUAACUCCGUGCCAGCAGCCGCGGUAAUACGGUGGAUUCGAGCGUUAUCCGGAUUUAUUGGGUGUAAAGGGAGCGUAGAUGGGUUGUUAAGUCAGUUGUGAAAGUUUGCGGCUCAACCGUAGAAUUGAAAUGGAUACUGGCAGCCUUGAGUGCAGGUGAGGUAGGCGGAAUUCGUGGUGUAGCGGUGAAAUGCUUAGAUAUCACGAAGAACUCCGAUUGCGAAGGCAGCUUACUAGACUGCCACUGACAUUGAGGCUCGAAAGUGUGGGUAUCAAACAGGAUUAGAUACCCGAGUAGUC
rnacentral:rRNA from 1 species